rnacentral:rRNA from 1 species
AACGAACGCUGGCGGCAUGCCUAACUCAUGCAAGUCGAACGAGACCUUCGGGUCUAGUGGCGCACGGGUGCGUAACGCGUGGGAACCUGCCCUUAGGUUCGGAAUAACUCCCCGAAAGGGGUGCUAAUACCGGAUAAUGUCUUCGGACCAAAGAUUUAUCGCCUUUGGAUGGGCCCGCGUUGGAUUAGCUAGUUGGUAGGGUAAAAGCCUACCAAGGCGACGAUCCAUAGCUGGUCUGAGAGGAUGAUCAGCCACACUGGGACUGAGACACGGCCCAGACUCCUACGGAAGGGAGCAGUGGGGAAUAUUGGACAAUGGGCGAAAGCCUGAUCCAGCAAUGCCGCGUGAGUGAUGAAGGCCUUAGGGUUGUAAAGCUCUUUUACCCGGGAUGAUAAUGACAGUACCGGGAGAAUAAGCUCCGGCUAACUCCGUG